UACAGAGGGUGCGAGCGUUAAUCGGAAUUACUGGGCGUAAAGCGUGCGUAGACGGUAGCGUAAGUCAGAUGUGAAAGCCCCGGGCUCAACCUGGGAACUGCAUUUGAGACUGCUCUGCUCGGGUGCGGAAGAGGGAAGCGGAAUUUCCGGUGUAGCGGUGAAAUGCGUAGAUAUCUGGAGGAACACCGGUGGCGAAGGCGGCAUCCUGGACCGAUACUGACGCUGAUGAGCGAAAGCCAGGGGAGCAAACGGG
rnacentral:rRNA from 1 species